AAUGAAAAAUAUUAGGAAAUAAAUUGUAAUAAAUAUUAAAUUUUAAAUUUUAACUUAGUAAUUUGCACUAUUUAUAGCCCAUAAUUUAGCAGUUUGAAGUUUUAAAACGUGUUAAAAAUAUAAUGCGAAAAGGUAGAGAUCUUAUAAUUAUCAAUCUUCACAUUUAAGUACUUGAAACAUAAACGAGUUAUGAAUGGAUUAAUAAUUACGUAAACAAGUGACAAUUAGGAUUCAAGGUAAUUAAGUAUAAUGAGAUUACAUUUCAAUCAAGUCAAAAAUUAAGCAAAGUCUGGAGUUAGAAUGUCUUCUCACUCUUAUGGGUAUUAUAUCGUAUUGACAUAAAACACAAAAAUUUAUAACAUUGCUUACAAUUUCAUUUCUUGCACUUUAAAAUGGGUUCUUAAUCGAAACAUUAACAAACCAUGUCGUGCGUCAAUAAUCUCGAGAAACUAAACAGUAGUUUAAAAAUCAAAAAAUUAAAUCGACUCAAUGGAAGUCAGCACAUGGUCCAUACACUCUUUAGGUCUAUUUACUGUUCCGACAUUAAUGUGGUUACAGUGGUUUAAUUAUGGAGAGGGUUAUGGAUUUUAGUUUAAACUCCAAUUAGGCCUGGACAAGUGGGUUAACAAUGAGUGAUAAAUUAGAUACCUGUUGGGCUCAGAUAAGCGUGUUAGAAUUGUGGAACAAGUAAAUACUGAUUGGGCUUAGAUGAAUUGAACUGACUGGUCCUCUUUUUUAGAAAAAAAAAAAAACUAGACAGAAUUGCAAACAAAAGAAAAAAAAAGAAAAAAGAAAAUAAAAUAAAAGAAUGUAUGUAGAUAUAUCAGUAAACAAUGAUGGCAAAAGAAUUGAGGGGAUAAAGAAAGAUUGAAUCAGUGGGUCAGCGGGUCAUUCGUAGAAUUUAGAGAACAAGGGAUAAAAUAAAUUAGAAAUAAAACUAGAGGUGUAAAACUGGGCCAAUCAUAAGGGGUGUAAGAAGAUAAAUUAAAAAUCAAGAAUGCCAAUGGUUAGCAAUGUUGUAAAAGAAAUUGUAGUGGGAAAAAUUGCAUACAGAAUUUAGGAAAAAUUAAAAGAUUAAAUACAUAUAAAAAUAUUCUGAACCAAAUUAAAGAUGCUUAAGAAAUUAAACAUAAAAGAUAACAAAUCUAUAUAACAGAUUUACUUUAUAUCAAGGAGGGGAGGGUGUGUGAGUGUGACAACCUACACACUCGAGAUCAAUAUCAUCUCAUCUGCCAUUCUCAUUUCAAAAAUGUUUACUGUAAUACAAUUUCAUUUCAUUACUGCACCCAAUAAAUGAGUUCAAUAUUUCCUUCCCCCUAUAUUUUCUUUCAUCAUAUAACUAUGGACCCAACUCUAGCAUACCACAAUACACAAACAAUAGCCAGAGAGAAUUUACAUAAUUUGUUUAAGCUAACAACCAGAAUCUGUAUUGCCAUUUAUUCCUACAUUUUGUACAUUUCAUACAUGGACCUGCAUCUACCCAAAAUUUUU
rnacentral:lncRNA from 1 species